CCAACGGCCCUCUUUAGGGCCACAAAUCUAUGAAUCAUGCUUACA
rfam:Wuchereria bancrofti cont1.5295, whole genome shotgun sequence.